CUCACGACAAUCUCAUGAGCACCCGCAGCGAUCUACAACCAUGGCUGGUGCGAUAAUCCAGUCCCAUCCGAAAGCUUCAAAAUCCACUGUCAGCGGGUAGCGACAACAUCGGGAUUCUGUCGAGUGUUCAUCGCAGUCGAGGCCAAAAUCUCUGCGGGACCGUUUCGGUGUGUCUGUAACUCUGACCUCUAAAAAUGGGUUCUGGGAGGAGAGGAGAAGGAAUCGGAAGCAUUACUGAGCAAAUGUAAUGGAUGCAGAGGUGUGCUCAGGCUGAAACUCGGAAAUGAUGGGUAAUCACGAGAAAUGCACACUGUGGAGGACUUCUGCGGUCCUUGGAGUGCUCAGGGCUCUGACCAGUGGUACCAGUGCUGUGGGCUGACCUGUACAGCUGCAAAAUAGCCUCUUUCCCAGACAAAAACUCCUUGGGGAGAGAGCACAGCCUAUUCCACUUGGCAGUGACUACUACCAACUCACUUCUGCUCGUCAUCUCCUGAGGACCUUCAUAAAGCAUGCAGAAUAGCAAGUCUGCAUAAGCUGACUCAACAUGUAUGUGGUGACCCAGCUAUUUCUAAUUUACUAAAUAGCCUUAGUGUGCUACACAUCGUACAAACAGAGACAGCCAUGGGCAAACUACAUGAACGCAUUCAUUUCUUUUCGCAAUGGAAAAACAAAUUGUUAGAAGAGUAUUAAUCUAAGGAUCAUUUUGUUUUCAUUUGAACAAUAUUAUAGGAAAGUCACAUGCAGUGCUGCGUUCCUCCUUCCUGUAGCCUACGAUGCAGCUGUCAUACCUAGUCAUGGCAAUAUCUUUCCAUGCCAGGAUAAAAUGGGUAAUACUAAUCUUAAAUGGUGCAGGGCUUUGACAUUCAUAAAUCUCACCACUUAAGAUACCUGUCUCUUUAGUGCAUUUAAAAUAGUUCAAGGGCUUUUUAUAAAAAGUAGGAAAUGAACUCAGAUCAAUGAAGUACAAUGACUUUUCUUCAGUCAUUGUAACUAUAUAACAGUUUAAUUAAAAAUAGUUAUAAAGCCUGGGACAUAAUAGGCUGGAAUAAAACUGCUGGCAGACCUCAACUUUGUGA